AGUGAACGCUGGCGGUAGGCCUAACACAUGCAAGUCGAACGGCAGCACAGUAAGAGCUUGCUCUUACGGGUGGCGAGUGGCGGACGGGUGAGGAAUACAUCGGAAUCUACUUUUUCGUGGGGGAUAACGUAGGGAAACUUACGCUAAUACCGCAUACGACCUACGGGUGAAAGCAGGGGAUCUUCGGACCUUGCGCGAUUGAAUGAGCCGAUGUCGGAUUAGCUAGUUGGCGGGGUAAAGGCCCACCAAGGCGACGAUCCGUAGCUGGUCUGAGAGGAUGAGCAGCCACACUGGAACUGAGACACGGUCCAGAAUCCUAAGGGAGGGAGCAGUGGGGAAUAUUGGACAAUGGGCGCAAGCCUGAUCCAGCCAUACCGCGUGGGUGAAGAAGGCCUUCGGCUUGUAAAGCCCUUUUGUUGGGAAAGAAAAGCAGCAGGUUAAUACCCCGCUGUUCUGACGGUACCCAAAGAAUAAGCACCGGCUAACUUCGUG
rnacentral:rRNA from 1 species